rnacentral:rRNA from 1 species
GACGAACGCUGGCGGCGUGGAUUAGGCAUGCAAGUCGGACGGUAGAGCUUUAUCGUAAGAUAGAGUUUGAGAGUGGCGAACGGGUGAGUAACACGUAGGAAUCUACCCUUAAGACGGGGACAACCCAGGGAAACUUGGGCUAAUACCGGAUGAGAGUGCGAGAGAUUGCAUUUAAAAGGAUGGCGAAAGUUGUCGCUUAGGGAUGAGCCUGCGGUCUAUUAGUUAGUUGGUGAGGUAAGAGCUCACCAAGGCGAUGAUAGAUAGGCGGCCUUAACGGGUGGUCGCCCACACUGGGGAUUGAGAUACGGCCCAGACUCCUACGGGAGGCAGCAGUCGAGAAUAGUCUACAAUGGCCGGAAGGCUGAUAGUGCGACGCCGCGUGAACGAGGGACGCCCGUUCGGGGUGUAAAGUUCUUUUCUAUACGAGCAGUGCUAUAUAUAUGGAUAGUAUAUAUAGAGGGAUAGUAGUAUAGGAAUAAGCAACGGCUAACGUCCGU